UUGUAAUUUGUAGAAGGUGCUUCGGGAGAGACGGCGGCGCAAGUUUCCUGGAACGGAGUGUCGCAGAGGGUGAGAGUCCCGUAUGCCGUCGACUGUCGAUCCCGCACGAAGCUCUUUCGACGAGUCGAGUUGUUUGGGAAUGCAGCUCAAAAUGGGUGGUAAAUUUCAUCUAAAGCUAAAUAUCCGCCAGAGACCGAUAGCGCACAAGUAGAGUGAUCGAAAGAUGAAAAGCACUUUGAAAAGAGAGUGAAACAGUACGUGAAAUUGUUGAAAGGGAAGCGCUUGCAACCAGACUCGCCCGCGCUUGUUCAGCCGUCUUUCGGGACGGUGCACUCUUGUGUGGGUGGGCCAGCAUCGGUUCGGGCGGUCGGAUAAAGGUUCUGGGAACGUAGCUCUCUUCGGGGAGUGUUAUAUCCCGGAGCGUAAUGCGGCCAGCCUGGACUGAGGACCGCGCUUUUGCUAGGAUGCUGGCGUAAUGGUUGUCAGCGACCCGUCUUGAAACACGGACCAGUAAGUUUAUUAUCUAUCAAUCGUUCUGAUCGUCGCUAAUAUGUUUUGCAGAGGAGUCGACCAACCGCGCGAGUGUUUGGGUGUAAAGCCCAUGACGCGUAAUGAAAGUGAACGUAGGUGGGAGCUUCUGGCGCACCAUCGACCGAUCUUGAUGUCCUCGGAUGGAUUUGAGUACGAGCGCGAUUGGUCGGACCCGAAAGUCAUGUGAUCUAUGCGCGAAUAGGGUGAAGCCAGAGGAAACUCUGGUGGAGGCUCGCAGCGGUUCUGACGUGCAAAUCGAUCGUCAAAUUUGCGCAUAGGGGCGAAAGACUAAUCGAACUGACUAGUAGCUGGUUCCUGCCGAAGUUUCCCUCAGGAUAGCAGCAGCGAGCAAUAGUCUCAUGAGGUAGAGCGAACGAUUAGAGGCCUUGGGGAAGUAACUUCCUUAACSUAUUCUCGAACUUCGAAUACGUGAGAAGUCCUUGUUACUUAGUUGAA
rnacentral:rRNA from 1 species